rnacentral:rRNA from 1 species
UAGCGCAGGCGGCGCUUUAAGUCAGAUGUGAAAUACCCGGGCUUAACCUGGGGGGUGCAUUUGAAACUGGAGCACUUGAGUGCAGGAGAGGUAAGUGGGAAUUCCUAGUGUAGCGGUGAAAUGCGUAGAUAUUAGGAGGAACACCAGUGGCGAAGGCGACUUACUGGACUGUAACUGACGCUGAGGCACGAAAGCGUGGGGAGCAAACAGGAUUAGAUACCCUGGUAGUCCACGCUGUAAACGAUGGAUACUAGGUGUAGGGGGGCGAGUAGUCCUCUGUGCCGCAGCUAACGCAAUAAGUAUCCCGCCUGGGGAGUACGAUCGCAAGGUUGAA